rnacentral:misc_RNA from 1 species
GUGAAUCAUCGAAUUUUUGAACGCGAAUUGCACUCUCUGGUAUUCCGGAGAGUAUGCCUGUUUGAGGGUCAGUUUAAAUAAAAAUCGGUGUGGUUGCUGCCUUUCGUGGUGACGCACGGGAUUUGGGUCGUCUUGUCUUCGGUUAAGUGACCUAAAAUUCUGCAUGAUUUUUUUCGAAUGUAUUUAAAUGAUUUUUCGUUUGUUUGUGUUAUCGAAUUUUCGGGGUGGUCAUCC